AUUGAACGCUGGCGGCAGGCCUAACACAUGCAAGUCGAGCGGAGCGGCGGACGGGUGCGUAAUGCCUAGGAAUAUGCCUGGUAGUGGGGGAUAACGUCAGGAAACGGGCGCUAAUACAGCAUACUCUCAGAUGAGCCUAGGUCGGAUUCGCUAGUGGGGGGGGUAAAGGCCUACCAAGGCGACGAUCCGUAACUGGUCUGAGAGGAUGAUCAGCCAAACUGGAACGGAGACACGGUCCAGAAGCCUACGGGAGGCAGCAGUGGGGAAUAUUGGACAAUGGGCGCAAGCCUGAUGCAGCCAUGCCGCGUGUGUGAAGAAGGUCUUCGGGUUGUAAAGCACUUUAAGUUGGGAGGCGUUACCAACAGAAGAAGCACCGGCUAACUCCGUGCCAGCAGCCGCGGUAAUAC
rnacentral:rRNA from 1 species